rnacentral:rRNA from 1 species
GCGGCCUAUCAGCUUGUUGGCGGGGUAAUGGCCCACCAAGGCAACGACGGGUAGCUGGUCUGAGAGGAUGGUCAGCCACACUGGGACUGAGACACGGCCCAGACUCCUACGGGAGGCAGCAGUGGGGAAUCUUGCGCAAUGGGCGAAAGCCUGACGCAGCAACGCCGCGUGCGGGAAGAAGGCUUUCGGGCUGUAAACCGCUUUCAGCAGGAACGAAAAUGACGGUACCUGCAGAAGAAGGAGCGGCCAACUAUGUGCCAGCAGCCGCGGUAAUACAUAGGGUGCAAGCGUUGUCCGGAAUUAUUGGGCGUAAAGAGAUCGUAGGUGGUUUGUUACGUCGGAUGUGAAAUUCAGGGGCUCAACCCCUGACUUGCAUCCGAUACGGGCAAGCUAGAGUUUGGUAGGGGAGACUGGAAUUCCU